rnacentral:lncRNA from 1 species
AGCUUUUGUACCUUUUUUUUCUGAGAGUGUGGCUGUGUUCUUGACAGGUUUUGAUGUUAGAUAUUCAUACUUCAACUGAGAACUUGGGUGCUGAUCCUGGUGACUUCUUUUACCAGAAACACAAAAUCAGCUUUCAGUCAUUUAAAACGUUCACCAAUUAAGCACAAACAGAAAUACCUUGUCGCUGAAAUAGGAGCGUGUGAAGCAAAAUCACAGCCCAGCUUAGAGAACGCAGGUGUGCUUGGACCAGAAUUCAUGGAGAAGACAAAAGCGGGCGACUUGGUGUCUGAGAUCUCCUGCCGUACAGCUUGAAUCUUCAGCAGUUUUUGAGCCAGUGAGUUCUGACAGUAUCGAUCUUUAUACUGCUGAAACACGUUCCUGUAGCUCUCCAUUCUCUCCUGGAAGAUUUUCCUUCAAAGACCAAGCAUCUUUAACCCUAUAAGCCUACUGUAUUUUAUUUGAUACAUGCUUUUCUAAGGCCUAUAAAUUCUAUGAUUGCUGAAAAACCUGUUGCAUGCCAUCUACUACAUGCCUACUGCUGUCUGAUUAAUUAUACUUGUUUGGCAC